GAUGAACGCUAGCGGCAUGCUUUACACAUGCAAGUCGAACGGUAACAGGCCGCAAGGUGCUGACGAGUGGCGAACGGGUGAGCAAUGCAUCGGAACGUGCCCAGUCGUGGGGGAUAACGCAGCGAAAGCUGCGCUAAUACCGCAUACGAUCUACGGAUGAAAGCAGGGGACCGCAAGGCCUUGCGCGGACGGAGCGGCCGAUGGCAGAUUAGGUAGUUGGUGGGAUAAAAGCUUACCAAGCCGACGAUCUGUAGCUGGUCUGAGAGGACGACCAGCCACACUGGGACUGAGACACGGCCCAGACUCCUACGGGAGGCAGCAGUGGGGAAUUUUGGACAAUGGGCGAAAGCCUGAUCCAGCCAUGCCGCGUGCAGGAUGGAGGCCUUCGGGUUGUAAACUGCUUUUGUACGGAACGAAAAGACUCUUUCUAAUAAAGAGGGUCCAUGACGGUACCGUAAGAAUAAGCACCGGCUAACUACGUGCCAGCCGCCGCAGUAACAC
rnacentral:rRNA from 1 species